rnacentral:lncRNA from 1 species
CUGUUUCUUAUGUUGAAUCAAGAGCAGCUGAUGGAUAAUCAAAGGGGUGUAACUGAUUGCUCGAGAUGUGGGGAGAAGGCGUCUGCUCCAUGUUUUUGCUGUGCGGAGCACUGUGGGUUUUAUCUUCAUAAGGUAUGUGCCGAGGCACCUUUGGAGCUUAAUCAUCCUUUUCAUCUCAACCAUCCUCUUCUUAUGCAAAAUGCACCUUAUUCAUCUGGAAUGUACGUUUGCAAUUUUUGCAAUAAAUCUGGUCACAAGUCUGUUUAUCGCUGCUCUUCUUGUGAAUUGGACUUUCAUAUUAAAUGUGCAUUGUUUACAUUUAAUAUUGCUGAGAAUAAUUUGAAAGAACUUGAGCAUGUUGCCCUUCAACAUUCAUUGAUUCCCACUGAAAAUGGUGAUGAAAAACUUAAAGAUGUUUCUAAGUGCUUUGGGUGCCGGGAACCAUUAGCAAAUUGUACACACUUUUCUCCUUGCCGUGGGUUUAACUUACAUGAGAAAUGCACUGAGAUUCCUUUCAAAUUGAAUCAUCUGUGUCAUCGCAAGCAUCCUCUUGUCCUACAAUUUAAUAGCGAACGGCUCUCUUGCAAGAUAUGCUGCCAGGUAACAAUGCGAAGAGGAUUUGUUUAUGGAUGUUCUCCUUGUAAGUUUGUUGUUCACAUUGAAUGUGCAUCACAAUCACCAUUACAAGUUAUUAAGAGUACAAAUCAUGAACAUCCAUUCACCUUGUUGGUGAGUCAAGUUCCAUUCACAUGUGAUGGGUGUGGCACUGGAGGAAAUCAUGUUGCCUAUAGAUGUGGUACAUGCAACAUUAUAAUCCAUAAAAAUUGCAUUUCAUUGCCUCGCAUUAUCAAAAGUAAGUGGCAUGACCAUCGCCUUCUUCACACAUAUUUCCAUUACAUAGAAGAUUUUAGGGUUUUGAAUUGCCUAAUAUGCCAUGAUGAAGUCAACACAGAGCAUGGUAGUUACUAUUGUUCAAAGUGCAACGGUAUAUUCCAUGUGAAGUGUGUAAUGAAGGAUAAAGAUUCAUAUGAAAUAGUAGAAAAUGAAGAUGAGAUUGAGAUGCCCAUUGAAAGUUCCAUCAUUGUUAUUGAGAGCAACGAUGCUGGAGAAGCUACAAAAAUAAAUCAUUUCAAGCAUAUGCAUAAUCUAAUGUUAGGUCCCUUUGUUGGAGGAUAUGAAAAUAGUUGCGACGGGUGUAUGUUGCCAAUCUCGGAUCCGUUUUACUACUGUUCAGAAUGUGCUUUUUUUCUUCAUAAAGCGUGUGCCGAGUUACCUAAGAUGAAGAAUGUUUGGUAUCAUGAUUGCAAAGAGCCUCUAGCCCUUAUUUCUGACAAAGCUUUUGAGUGUCGACGAUGUUGGGGCAUAUCUAAUGCCUUUGCCUAUGAAUGUUGUGGAUGUGAGGAAAAAAUAUGUCUCCGAUGUGUGAUUGCUCUUACUCCUGGUGCUCGAACAUGUUUGAAACAUGAACACCCCCUCUUUUACUACCCAAAGCACAAUGGGAAAUGCAAUGCUUGUGGUACGACUACACAGGCGACAUUCUGUUGUAAGGAUUGCAAUUUUGUGCUACAUCUUGGUUGUUUUUCACUUCCAAUUACAGCGCGUCACAAAUGCGAUGAGCAUCUUCUUUCACUCACUGAUUAUGAUGAUAACAGUUAUUCAGAACAUCAUCACUGUGAUAUCUGUGAAGAAAGUCGAGAUCCAAAUCAUUGGUUUUAUAAUUGUUCAACAUGUGAUACUUCUGCUCAUGUUUAUUGUGUUCUUGGAGAAUAUCCAUUCCUCAAACUCAGGAGCUUUUAUGAAGAAAAGGAUCAUCCACACCCACUCACCAUUGUGAAGAAGAAGUAUUACUACCCAGAUUGUGAGAAAUGCGGUAAGCCUUGUGUAGAUGUGGCUCUUGAAUGCUCAAAGUCGGAGUGCAAAUAUAUUGUCCACUGGAAUUGUGUAACACCCGUUCAUCUAUGGAGUUUUUGGGCGUGGUACAGGAGGUAAUUCAGAUGUAAUCAUAUUUGAAAUCUGCCACUUCAUUUGCAGGAAAACUCAAGACUGGAAAACAGGGUUUGAUCUUUGCCUUGUUACUUGUGAUAUUAGUUAUUGUUGUAACUGUAAUUUGGUUUUCUCGACUUUUUAAGUUAUAAAUAAAUGUCAUGUAAAAAUCUGAGCUGAAACUUGUGAGGUUUGAUUGUUGAUUUUAGAAUUACUUGUGAGGUUUGCCGAAACGUUGCUAGAUGCUUCUCUUUGUUUUUAUAUAUAAGCUUUUUCUGAAAUUACUUAGCUCAAUGUAUUAGAUAAAGUAAGAAGGAGCUGUCUCCUUCAAAAAACCAAACAUGUCUUUUAAUGAUAUAUUUCGCAUACUAAAAUUUUAUUGCGCAAUUUAUGAAGCUUCAUCGUAACUUAACCCUAUUAUUGCCUAAGCAAAUAAUUUUGAAAACAAAAGAUUCAACAGCCUCCGUAACCUUUCAAUCUAGCUUUUGUAACAGAUAAACUGAAAUUACUACAGUCCCAAAUAAAAUUGAAGGAUUAGCUUUUUUUUUUCCCCAUAAAAACUAUAUAUUAAGACAAAAAGGAAAAUGCAAAGUCGAGAAAGGUCAUCAUCCACACAAUUUCACAACAGCUCAAACCAGUAAUCAAUGGAAGGAGUGAUUAUGGCCCAAACACUGCAACAGCUUAACCAAGAAUGACAAUAAACAUGGAUCCCAUCUGCCAGCUUCUACUUUGAGAUUCCAAUCCCCACACCUAAUGUUUUAGCUAUUUUCCCAUCUCUUUUUUACUCUCUUAUAUCACAACCUUGUAUCUAAUUUCCUUACUGUCUUGUCUGGGAUGGUGUUGGAGUUUUAGAGAAGUUGAGAGAACAAAAUACAGAGAAAACAAAGAACAAUACUUAUCAGAAUUUAUUUUUUUUUGACUGCUAUCAAAUUUUCUCAUAUGCUUUUACUAGAGUUUUGAAAAUCUAGAAAUAGAUAAGAGAAUCGAGUUUUACUAGAUGUUGAGGCCUAUUUUCACAUUUUUGAUUCAGCUGCUCCUAUGCUACUUGAAAAAAUGUUUCGUUUGUCUCUCACGAUACAACAACAAGAUCAUCGAAGCAGUAGCACCUCUAUAGUGAUCAACGAACAAACCUUGACUUCUUCUAUCACUGAAACAUUUAAAAAUUUGGAGUGAAAAAGAAAGAAUGUUGAGAGUGAAAUAAAUUUGUUGUGUGUCUAAAGAAUUCUAAAUAUACAAAUCUGCAUUAAAGGAGUCUUUUGUCCUUUUAAAGGAGAUUUAUACGUCAUGCAAGUAUGCACCCAACCCCAGUGAAUUUGGAUUCGCACCCUUGCUAUGCAUGAGGGAGAAUAUUAAUUUAGCGCUUUAAUAAUUACUAAAUUGGCUUACAUAUAUAUACAAGUUUCACACUUGAGUUCCAAUCAAUGUGAGACUAAUACUUUUCAUUUUCCUCAACAUAAUUUACAAAUAGUUUACAUUGAGCAUAAAUUUCGUAUCCAUCACUCAAACAUUUUGAGUAUAUAAUAUAUCGUUAUAAAGGUAUCAUGAAGUAGAAUAUAAAACCAUAAUUUUAUGAUUCAACUCUCCAUUUUUAUCAAUCGUUAAUAUGCCUCAAAGUUUUCAAAAAUUACAUUUUUUUCCAACACACUUCAGCGAAAGGAACCAGAGGACAGUCGAUACGAAGUUGUUACCCAAAUUAGAUGAACAGUAUGCCAACGGAUCGGAGAUUGCUGGAGAUGUUUUAUAUCGUAGGAUUCUACCGCAUGUGGCUGCAGUGCAAAGGAAUCAAUGGAGUUUUUGGGUAAUGGGGGUUACCAUGUUUAAACAUUUGACAGUCCUUUAAAAUAAGUCAAAUCCCUAUCCUAUUUGUAAAGGAUGUUAUGUUAAAAACAUUUUUCCAGGCUUCUUUAUUUACUGGCAUCAUCAUCACCUACCCCUAGGAGAUCAAUGUUGUUGCUUGUUUUCAGAUUGCAAAUCAAAGCUAACCUUUCAAACUUACAGAAUUCAAUGUUUUUUACAACAAAAAGAAAUUGGAUCAAAACUCUAUCCUUCCAUCCAAUUUCAAUACAAUUCGGUUUAUAUAAGUAAGCUUCAAUACAAGCUUAAUGUAACUUCACCAACUCCGAUUACAACUCGUUGAUUUUUAUCAACUAGUACUUGGAAACUGAAAUUGAAAAAGUAACAGCACUGUCCAUUAUUAUUGAAUCCAAACUAAUUAAUUCUGUCCAUUUUAUAAUGUAUGAUCUUCUCUGUUUGCACCGUCCAAUAACUUAAAUAAAAACUUUCGAAUAGUUCAAUGAACAUUUUAUAACUGUAGUUGAAUGAAUCCGUAACUUAUAGCGCCUGGAGUGUAUGGGCCGAAGAUUUCUGAACUUCGCCCCGUCAUCAAAAGACGCAUAUAAGGAUCACAUGGUAAGUAAAGAUUCUUCACGAGAAUGUCUUUGGAAUCUCCGGUGACCUUCAGUUUUAGAUUCUCGUCGACGAUGACCACCAUGUCUGAUUCUUUUGGAAACCCGGAAACAUAAUCCUUGAAUAUCACCUUUUUGUUGCUCACCACUGCAUUUCUCACUACCAUCCGCCAUUGUUGUUUUGCUUGGUGCUUUUGUUUUUUUCUCUAUGGUGAAGAUCACGUUCUGAAAUAAGCUGAACUUCUCUCUAUUAUCAGGUGGGUCUAAAAUUGGCCAAAUUGUGGUUUUGGUCCUUCUAUUAUUUUCAAUUUUGAAAAUUAAUCUAUGUAUUUUAAUUUGGUAUAAUUUAAUCUUCGUAAUCUUAUUAGUUAGUUAAAAUAGUUAACUAUAUACUAUUGGUCUCUGUACUUUCGUGCUGUUUGAACUUUAAAAUUUCAAUCCUAAUCAAAAUGGUAUUUACUAAAUUAUGAUAUUUUCUAAAGUUUAUAUGGCAAACAUAUUAUCAAAUGUGUAAUGUAAUGUAAUUUGUUAUUUGCACAAAAUAAAAAAAAAUCUUAUUAUUUUUAAUCGUUCUAGCAGAAUUUAACCUAACUAUUCUAAUUAAAAUGCAGAUUUGAUUUUUUCUUAAAAAUAUCCCUUGAAAAAAAUCAUGUUGAAGGAUGAAUUGGAAUAAAUAUUUUUUUAGAAAAAUCCUCACCAAUAUUUUAAUAAAAAUAUUACUAUUAGAUUAACUAGUGACAUUAUAAAUAUAGAUGACUAUAUUAUGAAAAAUUAAAAUAUGAAAAAUAAAUCUCAUAUUUGAUUAUAAGAUAGGGACUAAAAUCAAAAUUUUACCUUUUAAAUUUCCAUUUUAGUUUGAUUGCGUAUACCGUUUGUAUUGUGAGGCUGAAAACUUGAAAAGGAUAUUUAAAGUCCAAUCAAUUUCGACCGUACAAUCUUUUUUUUCAAGAAACUCGUUUAAAAUCAAUAUCCAAUGCGUACACGUAGCUAGAGGUGUCCGCUCGAAGCAUGAGAGGAUUCGGGUAAAAAUAUAGGACCGAAAUAUAGGUUUGGGUAAAAAAACGGAGUCCGUUUAGAAAAUGGGCCAGGCCUCGGGCACUACUUUUUUGGCCCGGGCCGAAUAUAAUAAAUAUAUAUUUUUAUUUUUUUAAUUUUAAAAUAUUUUUAAAAUAUUUUUAAAAUACUUUUUUUGUUUUUUAUUUUAAAAAUAAUUUUUUGGUGUUUUAUUAAAAAAAUAGGCCGGGCCGAGACCGGACUUAGGAAUUUUUACCCGAGCCAAGCCUGGACAAAAUUUCAGACCCAUAUUUCGGGCCAGGCCGGGCUGGGCUCGAGCCUAGGACACGGGCCAAAAUUUUGGCCCAGCCCAUGAGCACCUCCACACGUAACCAACCUAAUAUGAUAAUCGUUUGGGUAAAUUAUUAUCAUUUUUUGAUCAAUGGGAUAAUUACAAAUAAAUAAAUAUUAUAUAAAUAUUUAUAUUUAUGUAGAAAACAAUAGAUUUAAACAAAAUAAAUUAAAUAAAUAUUUAUAUCUAUUUAAAACAUUAAAUCUGGAAAAACAAUUAAGAGAAUCGAGUUUUACUAGAUCUUGAGGUCUGUUUUCACAGUUUCUUUAGGAUAAAUUCGGCCACUCAUAUGCUACUUGAAGAAACGUUGAUCGUAUGUCUCCUAAGAUACAACAACAAAAUGAUCGCGAUAGUAGUACCAAUGCAAUGAUCAAGAACAAACAUUGUCUUCUUCUAUUAUCGAAACGUUUGAAAAUUUGGAGGAAAAAAUUCGUUGUGUCUUUAAAAAAUUUUGCUGUAUUUUAAAGUUUUUAUAGGCAUUAAGUAUGGAGGAAUUUUAGAAAUUUCUAUAAAUAAAUAUAUAAAUUUGCAUUAAAGGAGCCUUUAGAUCAAUUUGAUUGGAAUCAAAUCAAAUCGAGAUAUUUAUCUUUAUAUAUAAUUGUUUCUAUUAUUGGUUAAAUUAUUUGACAGAGAAGAGCUUUUAGGAAUGAUUUUGAACCCAUUCUUAGUGCACAUUUAAAUUAAUAAUUUAGUUGUCAAAUAAAUUGGUGGUUCAUUUGUCAUUUAUGCUUUGUAAUGGUCUCUUCCACCUUCGUUUCGAUUAUAAACAAAUAACCCUUUGAUCCUUCCUUAAAACGAAGUUUAAAGGAAUGUAAAAUACAAAGUAGGAGUGAAUGUGAUAUAUAUAUAUAUUUUUUAUGUUGUUUCACCAGAAAAUGAAGAUGAAAAGUGUCUUGAUAUAUCUUUGAACUCCAUCACUAAUGUUCUAGAGAGGAAUGAUGCAGGAGAAGCCACAAUAAUAGAGCACUUCAAGCAUAAUCACUACUUAUGGUGAUAAAUGUUGUGAUGGGUGCAUGUUGCUAAUCUCGGCUUCAUUCUACUAUUGCUUUCAGUGUCAAUUCUUUCUUCAUAAAGCUUGUGCUGAACUACCAAAGAUGAAGCCUGUUUGGCAUCAUGGAUGCCAAUUAGAAACUUCAGACAACAUUUUCAAAUGUGAAAUUUGUGAUAGCCCGAAAUAGGGCCUAAUCGGAAUAGUGGUUUCGUAACCACAAAUUCAAAGUGAAAUAGUUUAAUUUUAUAAAUUUUUAUUAGUUACUGAUUGAUUGAAAUAUUGUGUGAAAAUAUGGAUAGGAAAUUUUAAUGCUUUAGUGCUUAAUUGAAUUUUUAGGACUAAAUUGAGAAAAAUGCAAAGUGUGUCUAAUUAGUGAGUAAAUGACUUAAUUGAAUUAUUGCAUGAAAUUGGAAGUGUUUAUGUGGCAAUUAGACCAUAGAUUAGUAUUAUGGACACAAAAGGGUAUUUCUAGAAAAAUAUCUAAGUAAUGGGUCAAGGGCAUUUUUGUCCAAAUUGGGUAAAAGACAAAAUAAAGAGAAAAUAAGUGUCCAUCUUCUUCAAAAAAAUCAGAAGCUUGCUGCCGAAAGUUUCAGGUUACCAUAGUUAAGGGUUUUGAUUUUCCUAAGCUCAAUUGUAAGUGAUUUCUUGCCUCGUUUUUAAUUAUUUUCGUAUUUUUAUGCUUAUUGAAGCUUGAAUUUCAUGUUUCUACCAUUUAAUUUAAAUGAAAUUAAAGUUUAAAAAUUGACCCAUUCAUGAUAUAAUUGUAAAUUGAUUAGUGAUGUUAGAUAAUGAAUGUUUGAAGUGUUAAUUACAAGUUUUACUAGAUGAAUUUCAAUGAAAAAUGUUGAAAAAGGGCUAAAUUGUGAAAGAUGGUAAAGUGUGCAUAAAGUUGUGAUUUUGUGAAAUUGAGGCCCGUUAUGAGCAUGAAAUAUGAUUUAGUGAAGUUUGAAAUUUAAGAAUUUAGAGAAUUUUUUUUACGAGCUUAGGGACAAAAGUGGAAUUUUUGAAAAGUUAUGGGGAAAAAUGUAAAUGUGUCAAAAUGUUGUGUAUGAAUUGUAUUUGAAUGGAAUAUUGAUAAAAUGUAUUAAAUUGUGUUAAUAUAGAUCAAGAAAGAAGAAAUAGUGCAAGUGAUCGGGGAAAAGAGAAAGUUAUCGACUAAAUUACAAAAAUAGUCGUUUUGCAUCCGAGGUAAGUUAUAUGUAAAUAAUAGUUAUAUUUGUAUAAAUUGUGAAUUAUAUUUGAUAUGUGAAUUAAUAUUGAAUGUGGAAGGAAAGUUGUUCAUGAAUUAUUCAAGUGAUAAAGUGUUGAAAAUAAAGUGUUAAGUGUAAAUUCCCGGUUGAACUUAGGAAUAGAAUUGGAUACAAGUGACAUGUCACUAGAGACUAGUGUUACAGUGUUACAGUGAGUCCCGGGUGCUGGGUGGUCUAGCAUGUGUUGCAGACACCUGUCAGCUUGUGUGAGCAGACCCGUGGACAUUUCCAGUGUUAUUGAUCAGUGGUAGCUUCGGCUACAUUUCAGUGGUAGCUUUGGCUACAUCCAGUGGUAGCUUCGGCUACAUAUCAGUGGUAGCUUCGGCUACAUAUCAGUGUGGCACUUAUGUGCUAAAUCUCUACGUAUCCGUGUAUAUUCCAAGUGUUCAACGGGAUUAAUAAUGAAUUAAAGUGAAUAUGAAAUGUUAAGUGUGAAAAUGUAUAUGCAAGUGAAUUGGUAAGAUUAUGUAUCUGUAAGUGAUUGAAAUUGCUAAGAAAUGUUUUGAUUAGUUAUAUGUUAAAAGUGUUAAUUAUUAAUUGAGUAAUUAUUGUUUACAUGUAACUUACUAAGCUAUUUAUAGCUUACACAUCUCUUUCUUUCCUUUGUUUUAUAGUGAUUUGAACUUGAUCGAAUAGUGGACCGUCGGAGCUCGUAUCACACUAUCAUAACCAUCUCGGUAUUAUGUGCUUUUCAAAAUGUUUAAACUAUGGCAUGUAUAGAGUCUUAAUCAUUUUGAGCAUGUCCAAAUGAUAUGGCUAAUGUUAGCUAUUGAAGUAGUUAUUAAAGAAUAUGUUUUGGAGUUAUGUAUGUUUAAAUGGUAACUAAUUCAAAGAAGCAGUUUCUUUGACAGCAGCAGUGACGAGAAUGUGAAAAAUCACCAUAAAUAGUAGAAAUGGAAUUAGAGGGUGAAUGAUAUAUAGAAUUAAAGCUUAUCAAGUCUAUUUUUACAUGAAAGAAACGGUGUAGGAAAAGGAAUUUUAUAUUUUGAGAUAUUUAAAUUUUAGUGAGACAGGGUCAGAAUGGUUUUUGAAGUCCCCUGUUCUAACUUUAGAAAAUCAUUAUAAAUUGUACAGAAAUAAUUAUAGGUGAUAAUUUAUAUGUUUAGAUUCCUUAGUGAGUCUAUUUUCAAAAUAAAUUAAUGGUAACCUUAUAUGAAUUCUGUACAAUUAGAUAUUUGAUUUUUAGCGCCAAGAGGUCAGAUCUGUCGAGCUGUGAAACAGGGGAUACUUUAAUGAAUAAACUGUACUAAUGUGCUAAGUCAAAAAUUCUGAAAAUUUUAUGGUAAGUAGGAAUAUGAGUAUAGUUUCACGGAAAAUUUACGGAUUUAAAUUUUGAGUUUCGUAACUCAAGUUAUAAUUAAAUUAGUGACAGUUGUGCAGGUGGACAAUGUUGUUAUGAACAGUGAAUUUAAUUUUAAAAGCAAAUUUUUAUGCUCCGAAUCGGUAAGUUAAAUUGGAUGACAUCUCGUACUCGAUUCCGGAGACGGUCUCGGGUAAGGGGUGUUACAAAAUUUGUUGUUUCCUUUCUAAUGGCUUUGCCUACAAAUGUCCUGAUGCUCUAACAUGUCCAGGACAUGAACAUCCCCUUCUUUUCUAUAAUGAUUUUUACGGGCAGUGUUGUGCUUGUGGUGAGGAUAUAAAAGUGGCAUUCAACUGCAAGGAUUGCAAUUAUUCUGUAGAUCCUUACUGUAUGCUACUACUACCUAGAGCCAGACACAAAUGUUAUGAGCAUCUUCUUGCACUCAGUUAUCACGAGAUAAAUGAUUAUUCAGAACAUCAUUACUGUAACAUUUGUGAGCGAAAAAGAGAUCCGAAGAGCUGGUUUUAUCAUUGCACAACUUGCGACACAGCAGCAAAGAAGGGGAUCAUCCGCACCCUCUCACAUUUGUGAAGAAGAUAAAUUACUACCCUGAAUCAGACCUGUCCAUGGGCCAAGCUGGGCCCGGGAAAAAAAUUUCGGCCCGACUCCUAGACCUGGGCCCAUCUCGGCCCGGCCCGAAAUAUGGGCUUAAAAUUUUGCCCAAGCCAGGCCCGGGAAAAAAUCAUAAGCCCGAGAGCGGGCCGGCCCAUUUUUUUAAUAAACACAAAAAAAAUUUUAAAAAUAAAAAUAAAAAUAUUUUAAAAGUAUUUUAAAAUUAAAAAAUAAAAAUAAAAAAUAUAUAUUUAUUAUAUUCGGGCCGGGCUGGGCCGAGGCCAAAAAAGUUGUGCCCGAGGCUCAGCCCGUUUUUUAAAUGGGCCUCAUUUUUUUGCCCAAGCCCAUAUUUCAGGCCUAUAUUUUUACCUGAACCCUCCCAAAUUUUGGGUGGGCCAUCGGGCCGGGCCGGGCCGCCCGGCCCAUGGACAGGUCUUCCCUGAAUGCACUAAAUGUGGAGAACUCUGUGAAGAGCUCGCUCUUGAAUGUGCAGAACUAGAGUGCAACUAUCUCAUUCACUUAUGAAACCAUAUGGCUCUGAAUAUGGAUGCUUGAUAGGUAGAGACUUGUAAUUGACAUUUUAGUUUAGUUGUAAGUUGAAAUAAUGUAAUUUAGUCAAUAGAUUGGGUUGAAACUUGUGUGGUUUGGAUUGCUUAUGGAUUGUUUUGGUCCCCUAAAAAUAAUAAAAAAUUGAUUUAAUCAUUUUAAAAUUAUAAUGAUAUAGACUAUUCAAAUAGUGAAAUUACAUUUUUACUAUCAUAAAAAAUUUAAUUUAAUUUUUGAUCCUCUAAAAAAAAUUCUGCCUUAGCCCUUGGUUCUUUGUGAACACUUCGUUCCUCAAACUCGGGAGUAUCAUUGAAGCACAUCAAAUCUAAACUAGGGUUCCUAUUUGAAGUUGAAAUGUAAGGGAAGGGAAGCAUGUUUUAAGUUGGAAAAGAAAUUCAAAUCUUAGAAUCGGCAAACAUGAAAAUGUUAUUUACAAAUAUUGGGCCGUGGGUUAUAGGAGCCCACUUGUUUGUCUGCGCCCUGCCCUGCUCUUUAUGUUUUGGGGGCCGCAAACUAUCAGCGCCUCUUCCUGAAUCAUUGUCUGUCUUCACUUGUAUUAUUGUUUUCCCAUUGACACUUUGCUCCCAAAAUCAAGCUUUUCCUUUAUUUGUAUUGCUUGGGGAAGCAAAAGUGGUGGGGUCUAACAAUUAUGGCCACCAGCAUCCCCUGCUUCUUAUCUUGAAUGAAGAUCAGCUGUAAAAAUGGUGGGGUCUAACAAUUGAUCACCCUUUUAAUUAUAAACUUUGCUCAUAGUAAUUAUCGGAUAUUACUCCCAAAAAAUAUUUAAUCAAACUAUUAAAAUAUAUAUAUUGAUAUUUUAAAAAAAAUUAAUUUUCAAUGAAAAGAAAUUAAGAAAAAAGAAUAUACUUUUUGAUAGGGUGACACCAAGUCAAGUGCUCGAAGGCUCGAACCAACCUAUCCAUAAAGCAAUUUUUUCUUUUUGUAACCUGAUUUGGACGCUUUCAUUUUGUAUUUUUUAUUAUUUAAUUUUCAUUUAGACUCAAUUAUUAUGUUGCUAUAAACAUGCAUGUUUGCUAUAAACUCAAUUAUUAAACAUGUUACAGUUUGAUAAUUAUUUUAAUUUUUUUUAAAUAUAAUUUCUAUUAAUAAUAUUAAAUCUCCUUGUAAGGUUUUAAAUUAAAUUUUAAAUAUAAUUUUCUUUCUAUUAAUAAUAUUAAACAUGAUCAAAACAACAAAGGACUUAUAAAUAAAUCUCUUAAAUAUCAUACCAACCCACCAUGAAAAGCAAGUGUAACCUUGAAUAAGAGCAUUGACUAGCUAAUUGAGUUGACCUCUGUCUGCUAUAAGCGACCCUCUGCCACUGCCUCUAAGUAUCAAAUGCUCUCCCUCUUCCUCAAUCUUUAUCUUUCUUCACUUAGUAAUCUUGUUUUCCCUUUCAAUCUUUUCUCCCAAAAUCAAGCUUUUUCCUUUAUUUAUAUUGCUUGGGGAAGGAGAAAUGGAGGAGUCUAACAAUUAUGGCCACCAACAUCCCCUGCUUCUUAUCUUGAAUCAGGACCAGAUGAUCCACAAUCAAAGUGGUGCAACUCAUUGCUCCAGGUGCGGGGAGGAGGUGUCUGCUCCAUGUUUUUGCUGUGUGGAGCACUGUGGGUUUUAUCUUCACAAGGUAUGUGCCGACGCACCUUUGGAGCUUAAUCAUCCUUUUCAUCCUCAUCAUCCUCUUGUUCUUCAGCAAAAGCCACCAUCUUUUCGCACAUGGUGUUUUUGCCAUUUCUGUGAUAAAACAUGUACGAAAUUCAUUUAUCACUGCUCUUGCGAAUUGAACUUUCAUAUUAAAUGUGCUUUGUUUACAUUUAAUAUUGCUGAGAAUAAUUUGAAAGAGCUUGACCAUGUUGCCCUUCAAGAUGAAGAACUUGAAGAUUAUAGUCAGUGCUUUGGGUGUCGGGAACCAUUAGCAAAGUAUACACACUUUUCUCCUGACUGUGGGUUUAAUUUACAUGACAAAUGCGCCGAGCUUCCUUUCAAACUGAAUCUUGAGUGCCAUCGCGAACAUCCUCUUGUUCUACAAUUUUAUAGCAAACCGCUCUCUUGCAAGAUAUGCUGCGGGAUAGGAUGGCAAAGAGGAUUUGUUUAUGGUUGUUCUCCUUGUAACUUUGUUGUUCACAUUGAAUGUGCAUCACAAUCACCAUUACAAGUUAUUAAGAGUACAAAUCAUGAACAUCCAUUUACCUUGUUUAACGGGCACCAACAUCCCCUGUUUCUGAUGUUGAAUCAAGAGCAGCUGAUGGAUAAUCAAAGGGGUGUAACUGAUUGCUGGAGGUGUGGGGAGAAGGUGUCUGCUCCAUGUUUUUGCUGUGCGGAGCACUGUGGGUUUUAUCUUCAUAAGGUAUGUGCCAAGGCACCUUUGGAGCUUAAUCACCCUUUUCAUCUCAACCAUCCUCUUCUUAUGGAAAAUGCACCUUAUUCAUCUGGAAUGUACAUUUGCAAUUUUUGCAAUAAAUCUGGUCACAAGUCUGUUUAUCGCUGCUCUUCUUGUGAAUUGGACUUUCAUAUUAAAUGUGCUUUGUUUACAUUUAAUAUUGCUGAGAAUAAUUUGAAAGAGCUUCAGCAUGUUGCCCUUCAACAUCCAUUG